rnacentral:piRNA from 1 species
UAUCAAAAAAUUUAGGCACAA